GGAGGCUCCAGCUCUGGUAUCCUGACAGCCAGACAUUUCCCUGCAGCUGAUUGGCCGAUGGUUCCAGCUGACAUGCUGCUGCAGCUUUGGAUCCAUCAUGGCCUCCUGCAGCAGCUCCAGAUACCAGAACAACGUGUGAAGUGUUUCAAAGGGAAGCUGCAGCCGUCCGACGGCUGAAUUUAAUCCUGGAAUCUUGUGGAUAAGCUUAGACUGCUGGAGGAAGCACCUGCUGGCCGGUUCCAGCGUAAACACCGAGGAGUAGAGGAUGUCAUCCGGAGACAAUAAUCAGGGGUUUCCCAUCCAGCACCGUGUUUACAGGAACAGCUGCAGAACCAGGGUGAAUGCGGAGUUUCUCAGUGAGACGGAGGACAGGAGCUGUUCCCACACAGACAGGAAGUCCAACUGGAGGACCAGAACGAGUAAAGUGCUGAGCUCAUGUGAGCUCAUUUAGAAGGAAAUACAUCUUCAGCAGCAGGGGCCACUUAUGGACCUUCUGCAGCAGGAAGCAGCGUCUGGAGACCACAGAGCUGCAGCAUCCGCUGGGUCCAGGAGGAAACAAGCAGCUGGAAGCCCACCAAAGACACACAACAGCACGGGAUGAAGGGACCAGAACCCAGAGGUCCUGGAGGUCAGAGGUCAGAUCUUCUUCGAACCUGUGGAUUAAACAUCGUGUUCUCCUGAGGGUUCCUCAGUUCCAGAGGUUCUGUGUUCCGGUGUCUGGGUCCCUCUGCUGGACGGAGGGUGAAGUUCUGCUGGUGGAUCCUGCGUGAUGGUUGGCUGAGCUGGUCGAUGCUGCAGCGAUAAAUGGCGGUUUGCUGCCGACCACCAGAGGAACUGUGUCAUGGAAACUACACUGUAUGAGAACACACAACUACACACAACCUCACACCGCCCAGCCGCUGCACGGCAACACACCCAGUACUGCACAGAAUCAGACAAAUAAAACCAGAUUACAGCUGUAAAAUAAUCCAACAGGUAAAGGGAUAAACUGUCAGCGAACAGGAGGAUAAGUUUUAGAUAUGAACAGAGAUCUGGUGUUGGAGCUGACAGGUGGUGUUU
ensembl:lncRNA